UACGUAGGGGGCGAGCGUUGUCCGGAAUCAUUGGGCGUAAAGCGCGUGUAGGCGGCCCGGUAAGUCCGCUGUGAAAGUCCAGGGCUCAACCCUGGGAUGCCGGUGGAUACUGUCGGGCUAGAGUCCGGAAGAGGCGAGUGGAAUUCCUGGUGUAGCGGUGGAAUGCGCAGAUAUCAGGAGGAACACCGAUGGCGAAGGCAGCUCGCUGGGACGGUACUGACGCUGAGGCGCGAAAGCGUGGGGAGCGAACAGG
rnacentral:rRNA from 1 species